CCUCCUCGAUCUGCUGCGGGCAGAUGAAAUGGAUGUGGGUGUCGAUCCCGCCGGCGGUGACGAUGGCGCCCUCGCAGGAAACGAUUUCGGUGCCCGGGCCGAUCACGAUGUCCACGCCCGGCUGCGUGUCGGGGUUGCCGGCCUUGCCGAUGGCGGCGAUGCGCCCGUCGCGAACGCCGAUGUCGGCCUUGACGAUGCCCCAGUGGUCGAUGAUGAGCGCGUUGGUCAGCACGCAGUCCAUGGCGCCCUGGUCGCGCGCGCGCUGGCUCUGCGCCAUGCCGUCGCGGAUG
rnacentral:sRNA from 1 species